GACGAACGCNGGCGGCGUGCUUAACACAUGCAAGUCGAACGAAAAUACCAAGCUUGCUUGGUUGAUUAGUGGCGAACGGGUGAGUAACACGUGAGUAACCUGCCCCUUACUUUCCUGGAUAACUGCUCGAAAGGGUAGCUAAUACGGGAUAUUCUGACCAGCCUGCAUGGGUUGGUUUGGAAAGGUUUUUUCUGGUAAGGGAUGGGCUCGCGGCCUAUCAGCUUGUUGGUGGGGUGAUGGCCUACCAAGGCUUUGACGGGUAGCCGGCCUGAGAGGGUGGACGGUCACACUGGGACUGAGAUACGGCCCAGACUCCUACGGGAGGCAGCAGUGGGGAAUAUUGCACAAUGGGCGCAAGCCUGAUGCAGCGACGCCGCGUGAGGGAUGAAGGCCUUCGGGUUGUAAACCUCUUUCGUCAGGGAACAAGGCAUUGCCUUUUUGGUGGUGUUGAGGGUACCUGGAUAAGAAGCGCCGGCUAACUACGUGCCAGCAGCCGCGGUAAUACGUAGGGCGCAAGCGUUGUCCGGAAUUAUUGGGCGUAAAGAGCUCGUAGGCGGCUGGUCGCGUCUGUCGUGAAAACUUCCGGCUCAACCGGGGGCUUGCGGUGGGUACGGGCCGGCUAGAGUGCGGUAGGGGUAACUGGAACUCCUGGUGUAGCGGUGGAAUGCGCAGAUAUCAGGAAGAACACCGAUGGCGAAGGCAGGUUACUGGGCCGUUACUGACGCUGAGGAGCGAAAGCGUGGGGAGCGAACAGG
rnacentral:rRNA from 1 species